UUCUAAACUCUUGUGCCGGAAGGGUGAAGAGCGGGCUUGAGUCAGUGACAAAAUAAGUCACAGGUAGUUUCCAGAGGCAGCACAGCAGUUAGUUUCAGUUCUGAACCCGCUGAGGAGCACACAGUUGCUCUCAAAGCUGGGUCUGCGCCUCGUGGUUGCAGCAUCUCUGGUUGUGCGUAGGCAAGCUAAUGUGGACCUUCAAGAGCUUCAAGAUGUCCUUCAGCCAGGCUUUCAACUUAUCCAGAUGCCAACAUCUCUGAGUGUGUCCGCAUGAAAGAGAGUUCACACACAGGACACAGGAAUUGAGAAAUGAAUUCUACCAUUUUUUCUCUGGAACAUUUACAAAUUAAUUACAGAAAUACAAAACUCUGUCCUUAAUUUGUCCACCUGCUUGUCUUCAGAAGAAACAGAAGAUGAAAUGGCACGCAGAGGAGAAGGCCAUGUGUAGAUGGAAGCAGAGAUGGGAGUGAUGCAGCCACAAGAAAGGAAUCCCAGCAGCCACUCAGGAUGGAGAGAAAAGGAAUGGAAUGUCUCCUAGAACCUGUGGAGAAAACGUGGUCUUGCCCAUACUUUGAUUUGGAUUUCUGACUUCCAGAAUGCCAGAGAAUAACUUUUUAAAAUAUUAAGCCAUUUAAUUUGUGGAAAUUUAUUAUUUCAGCCACAAGAAACGAAUGUACUCUAUCAGUCAAAACAAAACAAAACAAAACAAAA